CAGAUACUCCCUCCGUUCCUAAAUAUAAGUCUUUAAAGAUGUUUCAUUAUUGGACUACAUACGGAUGUAUAUAGACAUAUUAUAGAGUAUAUAUUCAUUGAUUUUGUUCCGUAUGUAGACUCCUAGUGAAAUAUUUUAAAAGACUUAUAUUUAGGAACGGAGGGAGUACAUG
rnacentral:miRNA from 1 species